GCCCUUGACUCUGGGAUAAGCCUGGGAAACUGGGUCUAAUACCGGAUAUGACCUUCCAUCGCAUGGUGGUUGGUGGAAAGCUUUUGUGGUUUUGGAUGGACUCGCGGCCUAUCAGCUUGUUGGUGAGGUAAUGGCUUACCAAGGCGACGACGGGUAGCCGGCCUGAGAGGGUGACCGGCCACACUGGGACUGAGACACGGCCCAGACUCCUACGGGAGGCAGCAGUGGGGAAUAUUGCACAAUGGGCGSAAGCCUGAUGCAGCGACGCCGCGUGAGGGAUGACGGCCUUCGGGUUGUAAACCUCUUUCAGUAGGGAAGAAGCGAAAGUGACGGUACCUGCAGAAGAAGCGCCGGCUAACUACGUGCCAGCAGCCGCGGUAAUACGUAGGGCGCAAGCGUUAUCCGGAAUUAUUGGGCGUAAAGAGCUCGUAGGCGGUUUGUCGCGUCUGCCGUGAAAGUCCGGGGCUCAACUCCGGAUCUGCGGUGGGUACGGGCAGACUAGAGUGAUGUAGGGGAGACUGGAAUUCCUGGUGUAGCGGUGAAAUGCGCAGAUAUCAGAGGAACACCGAUGGCGAAGGCAGGUCUCUGGGCAUUAACUGACGCUGAGGAGCGAAAGCAUGGGGAGCGAACAGGAUUAGAUACCCUGGUAGUCCAUGCCGUAAACGUUGGGCACUAGGUGUGGGGGACAUUCCACGUUUUCCGCGCCGUAGCUAACGCAUUAAGUGCCCCGCCUGGGGAGUACGGCCGCAAGGCUAAAACUCAAAGGAAUUGACGGGGGCC
rnacentral:rRNA from 1 species